rnacentral:rRNA from 1 species
UACGGAGGGGGCUAGCGUUGUUCGGAAUUACUGGGCGUAAAGCGCACGUAGGCGGCUUUGUAAGUUAGAGGUGAAAGCCCGGGGCUCAACUCCGGAAUUGCCUUUAAGACUGCAUCGCUCGAAUUGUGGAGAGGUAAGUGGAAUUCCGAGUGUAGAGGUGAAAUUCGUAGAUAUUCGGAAGAACACCAGUGGCGAAGGCGGCUAUCUGGACGGUUUCUGACGCUAAGACGCGAAAGCGUGGGGAGCAAACAGG